rnacentral:sRNA from 1 species
ACUAAAACAAUCAGGCUUGAUUGGUUGUUGCAGCAGCUCCAAGGCAUUUUAGACUGGAGGUCUCAAGUUCAAUUCCUCUUAAAUGCAUCUUUUU